rnacentral:rRNA from 1 species
AUGUCUACCACUGAUAAGCUCAAUGCUGUUGAUGGUGUGCUUCUUUCUUCUUCUGAUGCGACAGAGUACAGGAGUAUUGUUGGUGGGCUCCAGUACUUGACGAUCACGCGACCAGAUAUUUCCUAUGCUGUUAACCGAGUCUGCCAGUAUCUGCAGUCACCCCGUGACACUCAUUGGUCUGCUGUUAAGCGGAUUUUGCGCUAUAUUCGUUUCACGGUGGCUCAUGGUUUGCAUAUUCGGCCGUCUGACUCUGGUUGUCUUUCAGCAUAUUCUGAUGUAGACUGGGCUGGCAAUCCGGAUGACAGGCGAUCCACGGGGGGUUAUGCUGUCUUCUUUGGCUCUAACCUGAUUGCCUGGAGUGCUCGGAAACAGGCUACUGUCUUGCGUAGCAGUACUGAGGCUGAGUAUAAGGCUGUGGCCAAUGCCACAUCAGAGAUCAUCUGGGUACAGUCCUUGCUUCAGGAGUUAAGUAUACCCCAAUCACAACCUCCUGUUCUUUGGUGUGAUAACAUCGGUGCUACAUACCUUUCUGCAAAUCCGGUAUUCCAUGCCCGAACGAAACACAUUGAAGUUGACUAUCACUUUGUGCGUGAACGUGUCUCUCAGAAGCAACUACAGAUCAAGUUUAUUUCUUCCAAGGAUCAACUUGCUGACAUCUUCACCAAGCCAUUGCCUUUGCCACAGUUUGAGACUUGCAGGCGCAAUCUUACCCUUCUAGAUUCAUUAGAAAGUGGCUAA